rnacentral:rRNA from 1 species
UACAGAGGGGGCAAGCGUUGUUCGGAAUUACUGGGCGUAAAGGGCGCGUAGGCGGCCUGCUAAGUCGAACGUGAAAUCCCUGGGCUCAACCCGGGAACCGCAGGGCAUACUGCACGUCUCGAAGUAGCUAGAGGCCGGUAGAACGAUCGGUGGAGCGGUGGAAUGCGUAGAGAUCGAUCGGAAUGCCAAGGGUGAAGACAACCGGCUGGGGCUUACUUGACGCUGAGGCACGAAAGCGUGGGGAUCAAACAGG